rnacentral:ncRNA from 2 species
AAGAAUUAGAAUAGAAUAAGUAUAUUAUACACAAGGAAAGUUGGGUGAAAAUCCUACGCAGGGCCGCUACUGUAAUUGGACAAGAAAUUUAGUAUAAGUCCAUAAGCCAGAUUGCUUGUUAUAAUAUAUACAC